ensembl:lncRNA
GGUCCUUAUUUAUGCAAAUAUGCAGUAUAUGUAUUUUUGACAGCACUUUAUAGUCAGGUGUAAGGUACUUUCACUGUGUCACAGCUGCUUGGUGUCUGCUUGCAGCCACUCUGAGUUGGUUUAGGAACAGGAAGCACCGCCUUGACCCUUGCUUCCUCCAUUGCGCCUUGUUUAUGUUUCAACGACUUCCUGCAUUUCUCUGUCUUUUCUCAGGGCUUGGAAAAGCCGUGGUCGCCAGAUGGAUAUACCAUGACAUUGUUUGUCUGUUGGACAAAACAAAACUUUAGUUGAAAGAGAGAGCAACUUCCUGACUGAAGGAAGGCUCUUCUCUGAAGGGAGGUGUAAUUUAGUUUUCCAGUCACUAGAGGGUGGAUGAGCCUGAGUUUGUGACCAUGAAUCAACUGCAGAUAGAAUACUUCACAUGACGGAAGCGUCCAUGCAUGCGUGUGCAAUAUGAAGUGAAGAGAGGGAGUAGCAAUGCAGAAGAGUGGGACAGCAAAGUGACACAAAUCCAUGUGAGCACCCGAACCACCAUCCCCAAACCUGCUGCAGCCGUGUCCCUGACCUCCAUCACCUCCCUGCCUUUCCCCUGUAAGAGAGAAGGAGAGAAACCAGCAGAACAGACACAGAGGCAAGAAAGACAGACUUUACAGCAAAAGCAGCAUCUGUUUCUGUGUCAUUGUUCUGGGGUUGGAGCAGGAGAAGGUCCAGGCCUGGAAGGGGACAAGGUCCAGGCUAAUGGCAGGAAGUCUUUAAAGUUUGUAGCUACC